CCUACGGGUGGCUGCAGUGGGGAAUAUUGCACAAUGGGGGAAACCCUGAUGCAGCGACGCCGCGUGCGCGAGGAAGUAUCUCGGUAUGUAAAGCUCUAUCAGCAGGGACGAACAAAGACGGUACCUGACUAAGAAGCACCGGCUAACUACGUGCCAGCAGCCGCGGUAAUACGUAGGGGGCACGCGUUAUCCGGAUGUACUGGGUGUAAAGGGAGCGUAGACGGCAAGUCAAGGCAGAAGUGAAAGGGCAGGGCUCAACCCUGGACAUGGUUUGGGAACCGUUGUGCUAGAGUGCAGGAGAGGUAAGUGGAAUUCCUAGUGGAGCGGUGAAAUGCGUAGAUAUUGGGAGGAACGCCAGUGGCGAAGGCGGCUUACUGGACUGUAACGGACGUUGAGGCUCGAAAGCGUGGGGAGCAAACAGGAUUAGAUACCCUAGUAGUC
rnacentral:rRNA from 1 species